CUACAAUGGCGUAAACAAAGGGAAGCAGGAGGGCGACCUUGAGCAAAUCCCAAAAAUAACGUCCCAGUUCGGAUUGUAGCCUGCAACCCGGCUACAUGAAGCUGGAAUCGCUAGUAAUCGCAGAUCAGAAUGCUGCGGUGAAUACGUUCCCGGGUCUUGUACACACCGCCCGUCACACCAUGGGAGCCGGGAAUGCCCGAAGUCGGUGACCCAACCGUAAGGAGGGAGCCGCCGAAGGCAGGCCUGGUAACUGGGGUGAAGUCGUAACAAGGUAAC
rnacentral:rRNA from 1 species